UACGUAGGGUGCAAGCGUUAAUCGGAAUUACUGGGCGUAAAGGGCGCGUAGGUGGCCUGUUAAGUCGAACGUGAAAUCCCCGGGCUCAACCCGGGAACUGCGUCCGAGACUGGCAGGCUCGAAUCCGGGAGAGGGAUGUGGAAUUCCAGGUGUAGCGGUGAAAUGCGUAGAUAUCUGGAGGAACACCGGUGGCGAAGGCGGCAUCCUGGACCGGUAUUGACGCUGAGGCGCGAAAGCCAGGGGAGCAAAGCGGG
rnacentral:rRNA from 1 species